rnacentral:rRNA from 1 species
UACGAAGGGGGCUAGCGUUGCUCGGAAUCACUGGGCGUAAAGCGCACGUAGGCGGAUCGUUAAGUCGGGGGUGAAAUCCUGGAGCUCAACUCCAGAACUGCCUUCGAUACUGGCGCUCUUGAGUCCGGAAGAGGUGAGUGGAACUCCUAGUGUAGAGGUGGAAUUCGUAGAUAUUAGGAAGAACACCAGUGGCGAAGGGCGGACUC